CCCUUAGACGUUCUGGGCCGCACGCGCGCUACACUGACGAAGGCAACGAGCUUUCCUUUACCGAAAGGUACGGGUAAUCUUUUGAAACUUCGUCGUGCUGGGGAUAGAUCCUUGCAAUUAUUGAUCUUAAACGAGGAAUUCCUAGUAAGCGCAAGUCAUCAACUUGCGUUGAUUACGUCCCUGCCCUUUGUACACACCGCCCGUCGCACCUACCGAUUGAAUGGUCCGGUGAAGCCUCGGGAUUGUGGUUAGUUUCCUUCAUUGGAAGUUAGCCGCGAGAACUUGUCUAAACCUUAUCAUUUAGAGGAAGGUGAAGUCGUAACA
rnacentral:rRNA from 1 species